ACUUCUGGUGAACUAGGCGUAGGGAAUUACGCCAAUCCAUACUGAACUUAGUGGUUAAACUUUACAGCAGUGACGAUACCCAAGGGGAGGCUCUUAGGAAAAACAGCUCAAUGCCUGAAU
rnacentral:rRNA from 1 species